rnacentral:rRNA from 1 species
UACGUAGGCAGCGAGCGUUGUUCGGAGUUACUGGGCGUAAAGGGUGUGUAGGCGGUUUGUUGCGUCGGCCGUGAAAACCUGCAGCUUAACUGUGGGCCUGCGGCCGAUACGGGCAGACUUGAGUUCGGUAGGGGAGACUGGAAUUCCUGGUGUAGCGGUGAAAUGCGCAGAUAUCAGGAGGAACACCAGUGGCGAAGGCGGGUCUCUGGGCCGAUACUGACGCUGAGGAGCGAAAGCGUGGGGAGCGAACAGG